rnacentral:rRNA from 1 species
UACGUAGGGGGGCAAGCGUUGUCCGGAUUUAUUGGGCGUAAAGAGCGUGUAGGCGGCCAGGUAGGUCUGCUGUGAAAACUCGAGGCUCAACCUCGAGAUGUCGGCGGAAACCAUCUGGCUAGAGUCCGGAAGAGGAGAAUGGAAUUCCCGGUGUAGCGGUGAAAUGCGCAGAUAUCGGGAAGAACACCCGUGGCGAAGGCGGUUCUCUGGGACGGUACUGGACGCUGAGACGCGAAGCGUGGGGAGCGAACAGG